GCCGAGGUCGCUUAGCCUGGUAGAGCGCACGCCUGGAAAGCGUGUGGGGUAACCCACGGGAGUUCAAAUCUCUCCCUCGGCGCCA
rnacentral:tRNA from 1 species